rnacentral:rRNA from 1 species
AUACGUAGGUGACAAGCGUUAUCCGGAUUUACUGGGCGUAAAGGGCGUGUAGGCGGUCUUGCAAGUCAGAAGUGAAAUUCCUGAGCUCAACUCGGGCGCUGCUUCUGAAACUGCAGGACUUGAGUGCUGGAGGGGAUAGCGGAAUUCCUAGUGGAGCGGUAAAAUGCGCAGAUAUUAGGAAGAACACCGGUGGCGAAGGCGGCUAUAUGGACAGUAACUGACGCUGAGGCGCGAAAGCGUGGGGAGCAAACAGGAUUAGAUACCCUGGUAGGCCACGCCGUAAACGAUGAAUACUAGGUGUAGGGGGUAUCGACUCCCUCUGUGCCGCAGUUAACACAAUAAGUAUUCCGCCUGGGGAGUACGGCCGCAAGGUUGAAACUCAAAUGAAUUGGCGGGG